UAUGUGAUCGUCUCUCGCAUAUCAAUAAGCGGAGGAAAAGAAACUAACAAGGAUUCCCCUAGUAACGGCGAGUGAAGCGGGAAGAGCUCAAAUUUGAAAUCUUAAAGGGUUUCCCUUUACGAAUUGUAGUUUAAAGAAGUGUUUUCUGUUGAGGUUUUGGUAAGAGUUCUUUGGAAUAGGACAUCAUAGAGGGUGAGAAUCCCGUAUUUGACCUUUACUUUCAACUUUGUGAUACACUUUCAAAGAGUCGGAUUGUUUGGGAAUGCAGUCCAAAAUGGGUGGUAAAUUUCAUCUAAAGCUAAAUAUUGGCGAGAGACCGAUAGCGAACAAGUACCGUGAGGGAAAGAUGAAAAGAACUUUGAAAAGAGAGUUAAGCAGUACGUGAAAUUGUCAAAAGGGAAGCGUUUGACACCAGUGUUGUUUUUCUGAAAAUCAAUUAAAGAACUGUUUAUGCUAAGUUGUUUAGACUUUAUCAGCUAACUGUUUAGUUUUGAGCUUCUCUUUAAUGCACUUUUCAGUUAACAAGUCAACAUCAAUUUCUUUUGCUGUAAAAAAGCUUGAGGAAGGUGGCUUGAGAUUCGUCUUAAGUGUUUAUAGCCUCUUGCCUAUGCAGUCGGAGAGAUUGAGGUCUGCAGCGUAGAUCCUUCGGGGCUAAAUGCAUUUGUGCUAAGUUAUAGCAUUUUAUAGACAACUUGUUGACUAUGAUUUGUCUUGUAGCUUACUCGCUUAUGUUAUUUUACCUACGCUUAGGAUGUUGAUCUACAGAGCGAGAGU
rnacentral:rRNA from 1 species